GGCGGAGCGGCGGGUGCGGAGCGAGUGAAACCGCGCUCUCAUCCGAAGAAGAAGUAGUGAAGCAGAUUCUGGAAAAUGAACUCAGAAAAUUCAUUUUUACAAUGAGAAGAUGCCAUUCAAUACGCAUAUGUGAAUCAAUCUCAUGCUGCUAUCUUCACCCUUUCUUUGCCACCUGCCCUGCUUGGGAAAAAAAAGAGAGCUGCCCUCAAAAGGUGUCUGAUGUCCUACAAACCAGCUUCGAACACUUAGACAGGCUCAUUGAAGAGCUGAUGGUGGUAGCACUCUGGCCAUCUUCAACCAAAGCUAUUCCCAUAGGUAAUUGAAAAUUAAUCAGAUUCUUCCCAGUGCGCUCAACUCUUUAGUACUUUAACAACUUAAAAACUGUGUAAUACUUUGGUUAGACCAUGAGACCAUAGUAAUGUGUCUAACUGUAAAGUGAUAUAUUAUAUGAUGAUUCUGAGAGAACCUUCUUUCCCAACUGAAUCAUGGUAAAUAAAUUCUGUUAGGCUUAGAAGGAUGUGUUCAAUUCUCUUAUUUAUUAAUUAAUUAUUUUCUCAUUUGAGAGAAAGGAGCUAAUCUCUGGUAAUUCUAAUCGACACAACUUCAAUUUAGUGUAAUCAGUCAUUCCAGGGAUUUCUUCCUAGCCCUUAAUCAGUGUUCUGCAUUUAGUUUAUAGUCAGGGGAAUAAGCUAGAAACAAUGCUCAAAUACAAUGUGUUGGCACCAUGCAAAGACCUGUCUGUGGAGUCUUUCUGACAUAUUUCAGUUAACAACCAGAGUGCAGUUGCUAUUUGCUGAAGAAUUUUGUGGGGAUGGGAGCUGGCAGUGGGCAUAGCUUCCCAGAAGGAGUGGAAAGGGAACAGACAGAGCCAUGACAUUGUUUCUUUUCUCCCUCACUGACUUGUAAAAUGGGCAGGACUGCUGCACUGGGAGAAGUGUGCUGCAUGUCUUUGAACAGUUGUCAUUUUCUUUUCACAUGUGGCUGGAGGGAGUCAGAUUUCCUUGUAGGUCCCUUGUUAUACAAUAUUUGCAAAUGGCUUAAAUAAUGGUCUUGCAAAUGACUUAAAUAAAUGCCAUGAAAGCUGAUUCCCCCCACUCCACCUCAAAUUCUGGUUAUCCACCAUGGUUUAAUUACCAUAACACAAAGUAUUAUAUUUACAUAUAUCUUAAUCUAGUAUGCAAACAUUGAGGAAACAGGCAGCAGCAGAAUCUGCUUAGAGGUCACAGCUAAUAAUUAUUUUGAAAGCUAUAUCAAUGUUAUUUUAUUUUAAGUGCGCUAUAUAUUCCAUGCUUAUGGAAAAGUGGAAUUUUUCAGCUUGUUUCAAUAUGCUGUCACAUUGGCCCACCACACUCAGGUAUGAGUCCUG